rnacentral:rRNA from 1 species
AAUACCCGCUGAACUUAAGCAUAUUACGUAAGCGGAGGANAAGAA